CUCCUCCUCCUGCUCACACGGCCCGGCCGCAGGGGCUGCCGGGAGUUGUGGUCCCUGUGACGGCGGCGGGCAGCGGCCGUUGAGCAUGGCGGCGGCGGUGGUAAUGGAGGGGGGCGGGGCGCGCGGCUGUCCCGCGUUGCCGCUCGCGAGCGGCCGGAGCAUCCCAGUGCUGGGGCUCGGUACUUCCCAUCAAGGUGGCUAUUCCCAUGAUGCUGUGGUCCAUGCAUUACAAAAAUGUGGCAUUCGUCAUAUUGACACAGCAAAAAGAUAUGGCUGUGAAUCCCUCCUCCAAAAGGCCAUUAAAGAGAGUGAUGUGAAGCGAGAAGACCUCUGGAUAACUACCAAACUAUGGCAUAGUGAUUAUGGCUAUGAAAACACCAAAAAAGCCUGCUUGGAGUCAUGUAAACGACUUGGCGUCGAAUAUCUUGAUCUUUAUUUAAUACACUGGCCUGAUGCACAUGUUCCUGGUAAAAGCAAUCGAGAGGUCCGUGCUGAAACCUGGGGAGCGAUGGAGGAGCUCUAUGAGAAAGGUUUGUGUAGAUCAAUUGGUGUAAGCAACUUUCUUAUCAGUCAUCUUGAGCAACUAAAGGAAGACUGUGUGAUUACUCCACAUGUCAAUCAGGUUGAAUACCACCCUUUCCAAAGACCUCAGGAGCUGGUUGAUUAUUGCAGAAGCAGAGAUAUUGUUUUUGAAGGCUACUGUCCUUUAGCCAAAGGGGAAGCACUCACCCAUCCCAGUAUCAUUCAGCUGGCAAAGAAAUAUGGCAGAACUCCAGCACAGAUUUGCAUACGCUGGAGUAUACAGAAUGGCAUUGUCACUAUUCCAAAGUCCACAAAAGCAGAAAGGAUACAGGAAAACUGCAAGGUUUUCGAUUUUAAUCUGAAGGAAGAAGACAUGGAAUUUUUGAACACUAUGAAUAUCAACCAAAAAUUAAUUCACCUAACCUAUCCAUUGUGGAAAGGAUAAUUUGAAAUGAGAUUGUUCUACACUGCAAAAGUGAUGCAGCUGAAACAUUAAUUAAUUUUAAAUGGAACAAUAAAGCUAAAUUGGAUACAGGAAUGUUUACUUUCAGCAUUUUCUCUGCUUUUUUGGAACUUUCCGGCAUAUUCUCCCAGUAUGGGUUGAGCUGUCUCACAGUAUUGUAAUUAAGUUUCUGCUGCUUGCAGGUACUUCAUUUAAGGUGUCAUUUUAACACAUUUGAACAAUUUAUUUUCUUACGUUUUGAAAAGUAUUAGUUACCUAUAGGCACAGAUAAGAGCAUGCUACAAUGCAUGUAAAUCUUGAAAAAUUAUUAAAAAUAUGAAAUGUUGGAAUAUUUGUUCUAGGAUUGCAGAACCUGAUUUUUUUUUAUACUGCUUUUUAAAUUUAUCCUAGUCAUGAGAAUUUUGAGGGCUUCUGCAGGCCGCUGUUUGUGCUUUCUUGGUGAGCAAAUGUGUUCCAUUAACACCAUUUCAAGGAUCCUGUCUUGACCCACCACAUGAGGGAGGAACGUCUCUGGCUCGUGGCCUAAGUUGCAUCAAGAUGAAUAAAAGUACUUUUUGCUUAUAUAGAGAAAAAAUUUUGAAGGUGCAUAACAGUAAUGUGUUGGAGAAAAAUCCCUUGCUAAUCUGUCUUGCAGGGAUUUUCUGUAUCUUUUCAAGGUGGAUAAUGUUCAGACACUCCUCUGAUUUAAUCGUGUGUUGUCCAGCGGUGCUCACAUUAAGACAGUGUGGUCUUCUGGUGGGAUCAGUGCCACCAGUCUGUCAGUGUGCAGGCUUUGGGAACACCCCAGCUUGCAGCCUCUUUUCUGACAAGAUCAAAGCUUUCUCCAGCUGGAAAACUGCCCUGCGACUCGCCAGGUUUCUGAAAGGUUCACGAGAACUUUGGUUAUCAUGGGCAGCCUUUUUUUUUUUUGGUGCCAGACCCUAAAUCAUGAGUUUCUGCUCAUCCUAAAAACUCAGGUGUCUGCGAGCACAUACAUAUUCAGGAUCUCUGUGAACUGAAGCGUCUGCCUCUUCACGCUUGUGGACAUGUUGCACAAACGUUUUUUUUAACUGGUUUACCCAGGUCAAGCAGCUCCUAUGUAUAAGUUUGGUGUCAUGAGGCGUGCAGCCCUCCCACUGACUGAGGCCUGCGUUCCGGUUAUUUCUGAAAUGGUGUGUGACUAAGUGUGUUGUCCUUUCUCCUUAUUCUGACUGUAGGUAACUCCAGAGUCGCUUUCUCAAAGGAGCUACAUCUGCCCUGGAUUUCUGCAGGGCUUUUCAUUGAAGUACAAGCUUCCUUAACACUGGACUUGGCAGUUGGGGAGAUACUAGAAAAGAGUUCUUGUUCUGUUGCUGGGGAUGGAGUAUAACCCUGGUGUAAAUCACCGCAUUAAACACCAACGUACUUUUGGUAGAGUUGGCUGGACCGACCUGAACUUACUUCUGUUUGUGUUUCAGCCCUCAUAAGCAAGCUACAACUUGUGCUGCUGAGCCACGUUUACCUAUGUCUCUGAGGUUUCAGACAGCCACCAGUGCAAACGCAGCUGAUCUGGCUUCAUUUGCCUGAGAAAAAUGAAGCUGUAUUGCAGUUUCCUCUCUGUUGAGGUGUCAAGAGGGCUAUGAUGUGUGUGGUCAUCUAAUUUUAAUGAUGCUUUUUGUGAUACAAAUAGCCAAGUGCUUGGAGUGGAACUGAUGUUGCCCAAGUAUUUUACAUAGCCUUUGAAAAUAAUUUGUUGGAUGUCACAUCUCUGAGUUGUAGCCUCUCGGUUGACCAAUAACCCAAACGUGAAAGCCUGUACAUCUGACUGCUGAAACCAUGAGUCAUUCUGUCCUUUAAUUAAAGCAUGUUCCUUUAAUACGUUCCCCUUGCUUAAAAUGAUGUGAGAAUUAUUUCCUAGAAGAAAAUGCCUAAUGAAUGCACUUCUCUUUAGUAUUUUCUAUAAAUUAGCUAAACAAGGGGGAAAGCUUGAAAUAUCUAGGGUAUGUCAGGCAGUUGCAGGGGAUGCAUAUGUCAACCUCAAGCGUGAUUUAUCUUGCAUGCCUUUUCUGACAGUUGUAAUUUAACGGCUGUAUUUUCCUCCAGGCUCUCAGGAGGCUAAACAUCUUUUCAAGUUUCUAGCUUUGUGGUGGAAGAGUAAAUGUCUGUUUGCCAGUGUAAUUUAUCUGAGUCAUUCUGGGAGAGGCGUGGAGCAAUCGAAGCAUGACUAUUAGCAUAAAUAAGAGAGGGACUCUUCCUGAGGGUAGAGUUACUCUUGCUGUCUUUCAGAGGAAAGCUGCUUCCUCGUAACGACUGCUACUGCUAAUUGACUAGUACGAUGCUGUGAACUGAAAAACCUAAAUCCAUUGAGCUCUGGGUAGUCUUUUGUGUUUCAAUUUGAAGUGGAGUUAAAGAGAACACAGCAAGGAAGGAAAACUUCUGCAGCAAGCACAGCAGUAGAUCACCAGCACUUAGCAUUUCACAUACACUGAGGUGUUUUUUUUCUUUUAGAAGUUUGAAGAGAGAAGGAAUUAUAUAAACGUAAACUCACUUCUUUCUCGGUCUCCAUGUAAUAGCACUGUUACCAUUGUAGUUGUCAUUGCCGAUUUUGUUUUUUAAAAAAAGUAAUUUAAAACUUAUUAAUAUUUUCAAAUAUGCCGGUGUUUUACAGAAU